CUUCCCACCUGAAAUAUUCCGUAAAAAUACUUCCCCAUAGUAUGCCGCUGGAUAGAAUUUCUCUAGGGUCACUCAUUCUUUAGAACCUGCUAACUCCCAUAGCCAAAAUCUUUGAUGACUCAACCUUAUAGUCCCACCCAGUCUGUAAUCCUCAGCAUCCCUGUCCCAUUGCCAUCUUUAAUGGGAUCCCUACAGGCCUAAAUAAGCCUCACAAGCUAUGAUUUCAGACCCUUUCUUUAAAUCUAGGUUAUGCCAUCUCCUCUCCCACACCCCCCAAC